rnacentral:sRNA from 1 species
CCAUGGGCUCGCGCCCAUGGCUACAAUCCGCCGUCCCUUCGGGACU